CUCGAAUUAUCAAAGUCCAAAGAACUCGCGAAGCUGUCUACAGAUUUAAGAUGAAUCAAGACACGGCUGAUACGUGUAAAGUAUCCAAUGAUCCUCGUCACUUGCUACUUAUGGUCAGGUUGUCCUCAAGCGGGUCUAUACUGGUUAACUUGGAUGACCAGUUUGCGGACGACAAAAUGUCGGUUCGGUGUAACAGUAUAACCUGCAAAACUGUGCCUUAGGGGGACCAGGGCAGUGUGUGUUGUGCCCUAGAAAAAAGUGACACUCUUCUCAUCUUUGCAAUUUAUGCUCUGAUGCAAAUAACUGGAUAAUUGGAACUGACAGGGUGCCAUAAUUAUGUGUCUUUCGAUAUUGCUGUGAGUUACCAUUCUUGACAUGCUGUUGUCAGUCUCGUAAGAAUAAUUACAAGGACGUAACAAAAGUAAAGGAAAGGAAAAGAACAGGGAGAACGUUUAGAAAGGCUAUUGGGGUUAUUGGGAGGAGUCAUUCAUUUCAAUAAAGUUUUAUUAUGAAGUGAGGACGUUCCAAUUUUAUCAUGUGGGUUUUUAUGUGUGAUGGAUAUUACGGUAUCAUUCGAUAACCGGGCCACGUUGAAUCCUGUUCUGAUAAAUGAUUAUAUCCUGAUUUCGAAUUAUGCAGUGUACUUAAGUAUUUUAUUUACUGUUAAGUAUGUACUGUUGUAAUCAAUUUAUUGCCAUGGCGGCGAGAAAUUGACGUUUAACAUUCUUACAAAGAAGCUGGAUAUCGUCGCUAGAUGUCAUCCCAUCAUAUUUGAUGAUAUAAAGGAUGUAAUUAUUACAAAAGAGAAGCGAGUAUAAUUAAAUCAGGUUAGUUACUUCAUUGCGUUAUUAUAUCACGAUUAACGGAAUCAAUGUCAAAGUGCCUACUGCAUAGAGGACUUACGCGCGAAAUUCAAAGUGAGUCUGAUGUCAAAUAACAAUAAAUAAAAUAUUUCUCUUGUACAGUGUUUGUGAACUAUUGAAAAUUGUUGCUAUGACGAUCAGAAGAAAAGGAAAGGGAAUCGCGACACGAUAACUGUCUUACAGAACUUAUUAUUAUAAAACCGGUUAUUACUCAUACAGUAAGUAUUCAGUUUAGCCGCGUAUUUUUAAAUUUUGACGUUAUCACUGAAGUGAAUAACGCGAAAAUGAAUAACAGAAUUCAUGAAUAAAAACAUGUAAUUACAUUAUAAACAUAUUGAGGUGGAUAAAUGUAUCACAGUUAUAUUCAUUCGGUACCUAGUUGCAAGAAUGGAUACCCAAAUAAAAAAAACUAAAAAAAAUGACUCUGCCAAAAGUCGUUCGCAUUGAAUCUAAUAGGUCUCUGCGAUUGCCGUUAGGUCUCAAAACACCUCGAGGGCAUAAAUCCAAAAUGUGGUACACUUACCACAUGUAAAUUUCCUUAUUUCGUCAUUGCCCAUGAUAGACAUUUGUUUCCAAAAAAAAAAAAUAAUAAAAAUUGCAUUAAAAAUUAUUCUGCAUGCAAAUUCACCAAUCAAUUCUUAAAAUCUAUACAACAAUACUUUAAUCCAUUUAGAUAAGAUCAAUAAAGAAUAUUCUCAUUUUUUCAUAACGGAUCUUCUUUCCCGAAUAUGAAUAUCAGAUAGAUCCCCUCAAGAUAAACAGAAUAAAUAUACGAGAUAUUCUCACCUGAGCGUAUAGGUCACGUAUCUAAUUACUGAACGUAUAAGGGUGUACUAAGGUUAUGUUAAUACCUAUUUAAUACCUAUGCACCUGUAGUUAAGGGUUCGUCAGCUGAAUUUUAGCAAAAGAAAGUAGCUGAUACAAGACUCCAUUGUUCAACGGUGCGAAGAGAGUUUGACAUAGAGAGACAACCGUGUCACGCAACAACAGAAUACUAAUUCCGUCCUGCAUUCAAACAGCUGAAGUUAUCACGGGACAUCAGUUUCAUUUUAAGGGGCCAUCAUCUUAUGAGCUACGAUAUAAGACAGUCCCCUGAAUCCGGAAGCAACCACCAACCACUGUAUUUUUACCUCCAUAUAUAAAAGAGGAACGAUUUUUUUCGCCGGACCGUUACGUGCAUACCGAUACUGAGGCAGAAUUGGGAACGAACCAGAUCCUGCGACCUCUAUAGAUACUUCUGAUCCUCAAAGUCGAUGCCCGUUGCGGUUUUGAUUUUACGACUUUUACGUUAGCCUGCGACACUUUUUUCCAAGAUACUAUUAUCCGGAGCAACUAUUCUGCGAUCAUUCUUCAAGCAAGACUCGUGAUGUAUUACGAGUGUAUAUAUAUAUAUAUUAUAUAUAAGCAGUGCAUACGGAAAGUAUCCGAAUAGACACAAUGAUUUUCUAAAUCCACGCGUAAGCUCUCUAGGAAAUUUAAUGAAAAUUGAUUUGUAACUGUCUAGUCAGAAAUUUUAUACGUGGUCAAUGAUUUUUGAUAUAUUUUUUAAAAAGGUUGAUAUACGAUUCUUCGUACGGUAAAACAGGUCAUGAGGGGUAAAUAAGGGACGUAAAAUUUUAUAAAAAUAUCUGCCAUUUUUCAUAUGGCUGUUUCUUGUGAUCUACCCUGUAGACGUAUAUAUACGCAAUAUCAAUCUUAGCCAGAGGGGAAUGAACUGCAAAGUGCAACGCUACCUAUAAGACAUAAUGUUACUACCUACGUAGCACAAGUCAUCUCUUUAUAUACCUAUGUAUUGCGCAUAGGCACUGGUGGGUAUAUAUAUAUAUAAUUUGUGUCAGCUACUUAGGCAUUUAUGUGUGGGGUUUUAUGAGUAACGCGUAACAGAACAGAAUUUUAGGAAUUCUCGACCUACUGUGUAUUCCUUAUAAUUGGUUAUUUAUACAGUAAAUAGGGAUGAUAUAAUACAAUAAUUUGUUAUACAAUAAGCAGCUUGUAAAAAUGGAGCGAUAUUAAAGGAAAAAGGAUAUUUUUUUUAACAAUAAGGAAACGUGGAUUUUAUAUAGGUUUUUUAAACAGAAUAUAUAUAUGUGUGUAAUAGGUAUUGUUUUGGAUUUGUGACAACUGGAUGCAGAAAGUUCAGUAGCUGAAAGCGAACAGAACGACAGGUCAGAUAACGGAUCGAACGAGCAAAAAAAAACUG